GGAAAGAAGUAUACUUCCAUAAGAGACUGUAUUGAACCCUAUCAUUAUUUUUAUCCCAAAUAUAAUUUUUUUUUUUUAAAUCAGGUUUUGUGUAAAGGGGUCGCAUAUUAUUUUUUAUUUUCAUCCCAAUAAGUUCUUAUUUUUUAAAUUUUCAAAAUAGUCAUUUUGUAAAAUAUAUUAUUCUAAACAAUUGUAAUAUACCCAUCAUAUUUUCUUGUCUGAUU